rnacentral:lncRNA from 1 species
AUAUCCGAAUUCAAUUUCGGUGGGUACGUGGUCAAGUAUCGGGGACGAAACUUCUUUUAAGGGGGGAUGAUGUAAGGACUGAGAUUUUGUAGUGUAGCUAAACUCUCUGAUGGCGAUGUUUUUGUGUGUAAUUUAAUUACAUAAGCACUCGUCGAGUUUCUGGAGAAAACGAGUUAGAAUGGAGAAGUUACGCGAUUAAUAGUUUUCACUUAAAGUGAAUAGUAACUCCGGUUUUCCGGAGAGGCUGAUGAGUAAAGAUGG